AAAGGGGCAGGUGUCACCGUGCCAGCUCGCUUGCGGCAUCUUUUGAUGUCUCUUAACAGAGCUGGGACUGGUCGUCCCUUGGAGAAGAGAGCUUGAGGCCAGACUAUUACCACAGCUGAGUGCUCCUCACCGUGUGGAAGGGCCGUUGUCAUUCACAUCCGGUGAGAAAAAGCAGCAAAGGAAACCGUCCUCUCCCUGGAAUGCCGGUCCACCAUCUGUCCAGCAAAUAGUCUUGGCCCACUCUCUACUUCUCUUGUUUAUUUUGGCCUUGCAGAUUUCUCCCACGAAAGCCCAUGGGAUUUUGUGGAAUUCAUCCUCAAAUCCCAGGUCUUGUUUUAGGACAGAUGGUGAGCCCCAAGGCUGCUGUGCUCCAACUGCUGGAUGCUACCACUGGGAAAGUGGGGUGUGGGGGGGAAACAGGGACCUCUCGCUCUUUCUUUCUACAUCUUCAUGGGAAGCUUUCACUAUCUGAACAUAAAAACUCUAGAUUAAAAGCGGGCAAGUGUGUCCAUAUUGUGAUCUUA